UUUAAGAAAAAGAUAAAUUUAUAAACUUCUAUUUUACACAUUUAAACAAAAUAAAAUUCUCUUUACAACCAUCAUAUCACUCACAAACUUCAAUAAACUUUCUUCACAAAUUCACUUUGAUAUACCAUAAUCCAAACAACCUCACUUUCUUUACACUUUCCUCUAAAAUCACUCCAAAUUCACUUUCUCAAAUCUUCUUCUCAAUCCAAUGGUUAUGCAAUAAAGGAGGGUAUUAUAAUAUUUUUGCUUAUAGUAUGGGUUGUAGUUAGUAAUCAUGGGGUGCAGUAUAAAAAGCCCUAUUUAAUAGCAAAAUUCUCUUCUCACCAGUCCAGACCAAAUCUCAAUGUUUAUUUGGUAUACUACAGGCCCAUAGAAAAACACAACCCUCCACUUUCAGUAUCUAUGAAAAACAGUUCAGUAUCAAAUUUAAGUCUACACCAAAGCUUCUUGGCAGUCACCCUAAGAAGAGAUUGAAAAGUGGCGGAAAAUUUUGAAUGAUUUUUUCAUAUCCUAAAAAGGAAGAAAAUAGUCAUAUGAGGUUAUAUACCUAAUGAUGAUGAUUAUAAUAAUAAAAGCUAAUGUAACUAAAUGAAAAUAUAAAACACAGAAUGGGUAAGAUCUGGUAAUUUAAUGUAAAGAAGUGACAAAGAGAAGGGAAGGAAGGAAGGAAGAAAAAAGGGUAAACCCUAGAAACUGAAUAGCCUUACACAGCAUAGGAGGAGUGAUGAUCCAAAAUAUGCUUUGAAGAAGUAGGGUCCAAAGGAAGGAUCCAAAAGGUACAAAAGAGAAUAUCCAAUUUUCCACAAUUAUGAUCACAGAUUGAAAGCAAUUUCCCUGUGCCAGGCGUUUCUCAAUCUCAACUUGUACAACAAAACAGUUUUCAUUACGCUCUUAACACUCUGGAUUUUAUCACCAUAUCACCAUUCCUCAAUAAUUUGCACACGAAUCUUCUAGAACUACCUAUCGUAAUCAAUUUCCAUACCAUAUAAUAAUUUACUGGGUUUAUCUUCAAAAUAUGCGAGAACUCUGACACAUUCAAGAUUACCACUACCGCUAAUAGUGUGCACAUAAAGUUGCCUUUUCUUACACGAACCAUAUACCAAAACAACAUAUUUCUUUGUUUUUUCAUUUGUCAAACGUUGACUACAGUGAUCUCUUGAAUCAUCUUUGAAUUGAAUUUGUAUAAGCCUAAUCCAAUCCAACUCAGGUCAUUUUCACACAUGAAUUUACACUCCAAAGUUAAUCCAAACGAACCAUUCAUAAUCAAAAUGGGAAUUGAAUUGUGUAAGAAUUGUCUCAAAAAUUGCAUUGAAGGCGUAGUGACAUGUUUUGAUUUUGAUGUGAUCAAUAAAAACAAGUAACUAGCAUGAAUGAAUGGAAUCAUUCUGAGUAGAUAAGGGUUACAUACCCAAAAAAACUCAAGAACCUUUCAAGGGGGAAUGCACCAUGUCCACACGUAUUCUUCAAAAUCCUCACUACCCACUCAAUUUGCA
rnacentral:lncRNA from 1 species